UCCGCUUUACAGCGGCAGUCUCGCUAGAGUCCUCGGCUUUACCCGUUAGCAACUAGCGACAGGGGUUGCGCUCGUUAAUGGACUUAACCAAACACUUCACAGCACGAGCUGACGACAGCCAUGCAGCACCUGUGCACGUUGUACCCUUGCGGGCCUUAUCGCUGUUUCCAACGACUAAUCCGUGCAUGUCAAACCCAGGUAAGGUUCUUCGCGUUGCUUCGAAUUAAGCAACAUGCUCCACCGCUUGUGCGGGUCCCCGUCAAUUCCUUUGAGUUUUAACCUUGCGGCCGUACUCCCCAGGCGGUCAACUUCACGCGUUAGCUUCGUUACCAAGGAAUUGCUUCCCCGACAACCAGUUGACAUAUUUUAGGGCGUGGACUAC
rnacentral:misc_RNA from 1 species